rnacentral:rRNA from 1 species
AUUGAACGCUGGCGGCAUGCUUUACACAUGCAAGUCGAACGGUAACAGGCCUUCGGGUGCUGACGAGUGGCGAACGGGUGAGUAAUGCAUCGGAACGUGCCCAGAGGUGGGGGAUAACGCAGCGAAAGCUAUGCUAAUACCGCAUGUGAUCUGAGGAUGAAAGCGGGGGACCAGGCAGCAAUGUUUGGCCUCGCGCCUUUGGAGCGGCCGAUGUCAGAUUAGGUAGUUGGUGGGGUAAAGGCCUACCAAGCCGACGAUCUGUAGCUGGUCUGAGAGGACGACCAGCCACACUGGGACUGAGACACGGCCCAGACUCCUACGGGAGGCAGCAGUGGGGAAUUUUGGACAAUGGGCGCAAGCCUGAUCCAGCAAUGCCGCGUGCGGGAAGAAGGCCUUCGGGUUGUAAACCGCUUUUGUACGGAACGAAAAGGCUCUGGCUAAUACCUGGGGCUGAUGACGGUACCGUAAGAAUAAGCACCGGCUAACUACGUG